AGGAUGGCAGUUUGCCUCGAGAGAUGUCUUUUGGGGAGGAAUGACCUGAAGACCAAGAGUCACCAAGACUCAGCCCUGGUGUGCACCAGAACCCCUGGAGGAUUUGCUACAAAUGCAGGUUCCUGGGCCCACCCCAGGGCUUCUGAUUCAGCAGAGCCCAGGAACCUGCGUUCUUAAGGAGCACCCCCUGUGAUUUUGGAGCAUGUGUUCACUGGAUCACACGGUGAGAAAUGCUGUGGGUGUGACCGAAGGGAGAGACCUAACAGAUUUGUACUCAGGACUUUUGUCCACCGAACCUCUUGUUGGCCUUGGAGUACGAUCGACAGUAGGUGGGGAAGGGAGUGGAGAGCCACAACCCCUUCUGCAAGGUCAGCAGGCAGUGUAGACUGGCAGAGCUCAUGUGCCACCUCGACACCUUCUCCCCUCUGCUGGCUCUUCCUGAUUUCAGAGGGCAGGAUGAAUAAAAGAUCUUCAGUUUGCUGGGAGAAAAGGAAAAUCUCUUAAUUCUUUGAUUUUUCAGUGAUUUGACCCUGUUAAGUAGGUGCCUGUGAAACUUAAAAAUGAAAACGAAAAUAAAGGGAAGAAUAUUGGAACAAAAGGAAAAUCAAGUUAUUAAUUUCAUAGUUCACAAAACAGCGUACUGCUUUAGAAAGUAGAAGUCAACCUCUGUGGCCCCUGACAGUGUGACCUGCGUAACGACAGAGUGCAACACGUGCAGGCAGUGGGGCAGAAUGUCGUCAGAAUGAAUGGUUCGGCCGGAGCUCAGGUUCCCGAGUGGCCCAGAGCAGCAGCCAGCUGCAGCACUUGUCAGAAAUGCAGAUUCUGAGGCCCACCCAGACCUGCUGGGUCAGGAACUCUGGGGUGGGCCCAGCACCCAGUGUUUUAACAAGGUCUCUGGCAACACAUCUACCAGGAAGUUAAAACAGACUUCUGAUCAAGACAGCUAGACCCAAUAGACGACAGAGCCGUGUCCAGAAUUGGCCAAGCACAUGGAUGGCCUGAAAAUGAGCUGAAAGGUGGGGCUGGGGCCGGGAGGAGGAGAGCGCAAGGCAGCUAGCCAGGAUGCUUUCCCGCUGUGGGCACAGCAGGCCUGAAGUUGAGCGAGGGAGGUCAGCACGGGGCAAGUCUGUGUUCUUGGAGUGGACGUUCAACUUCCAAAUCGAGAUCAUGUCUGCCGCCUCGAGUGACAGCAGGAAAUGCCCAGCAGUGAAGGAUGAGUGGAGGAGCCAGGCGCUUUUGAGGCAGAGGCGGAUUGCCCAGGUGGAAGAAAUUGUGAUGAGAGGCAAAAUCACAGGAAAUAACGUUGUAUUCUUGUUGCACCCUGAGUUGUGCUUGCUCAGUGUUCUGGAAGGUCCAAAAGCGUAUAGAAUGAAGAACGAGCCCCCUCUGGUACCCUGCCCCGCCCCACUCCCCAUCGCAGUCUUGUCCCCAGAGGUGGCCGCAGCCACGGGCUCCUUGUGAGUCCUCCUGAGACAGAGCUGCGGAUCCCACCAGUGGUAAGACUUUCAC
rnacentral:lncRNA from 1 species